AACGAACGCUGGCGGCAUGCCUAACACAUGCAAGUCGAACGAGACCUUCGGGUCUAGUGGCGCACGGGUGCGUAACGCGUGGGAACCUGCCCUUAGGUUCGGAAUAACUCCCCGAAAGGGGUGCUAAUACCGGAUAAUGUCUUCGGACCAAAGAUUUAUCGCCGUUGGAUGGGCCCGCGUUGGAUUAGCUGGUUGGUAGGGUAAAAGCCUACCAAGGCGACGAUGCAUAGCUGGUCUGAGAGGAUGAUCAGCCACACUGGGACUGAGACACGGCCCAGACUCCUACGGGAGGCAGCAGUAGGGAAUAUUGGACGAUGGGCGAAAGCCUGAUACAGCAAUGCCGGGUGAGUGAUGAAGGCCUUAGGGUUGUAAAGCUCUUUUACCCGGGAUGAUAAUGACAGUACCGGGAGAAUAAGCUCCGGCUAACUCCGUG
rnacentral:rRNA from 1 species